rnacentral:rRNA from 1 species
GGGUUGUGAGGUUAAGCGACUAAGCGUACACGGUGGAUGCCCUGGCAGUCAGAGGCGAUGAAGGGCGUGCUAAUCUGCGAUAAGCGCCGGUAAGGUGAUAUGAACCGUUAUAACCGGCGAUACCCGAAUGGGGAAACCCAGUGUGAUUCGUCACACUAUCAUUAACUGAAUCCAUAGGUUAAUGAGGCGAACCGGGGGAACUGAAACAUCUAAGUACCCCGAGGAAAAGAAAUCAACCGAGAUUCCCCCAGUAGCGGCGAGCGAACGGGGAGGAGCCCAGAGCCUGAAUCAGCAUGUGUGUUAGUGGAAGCGUCUGGAAAGGCGCGCGAUACAGGGUGACAGCCCCGUACACAAAAGCGCAUGUGCUGUGAGCUCGAUGAGUAGGGCGGGACACGUGGUAUCCUGUCUGAAUAUGGGGGGACCAUCCUCCAAGGCUAAAUACUCCUGACUGACCGAUAGUGAACCAGUACCGUGAGGGAAAGGCGAAAAGAACCCCGGCGAGGGGAGUGAAAAAGAACCUGAAACCGUGUACGUACAAGCAGUGGGAGCACAGGUUUACCUGUGUGACUGCGUACCUUUUGUAUAAUGGGUCAGCGACUUAUAUUCUGUAGCAAGGUUAACCGAAUAGGGGAGCCGGAGGGAAACCGAGUCUUAAUUGGGCGUUAAGUUGCAGGGUAUAGACCCGAAACCCGGUGAUCUAGCCAUGGGCAGGUUGAAGGUUGGGUAACACUAACUGGAGGACCGAACCGACUAAUGUUGAAAAAUUAGCGGAUGACCUGUGGCUGGGGGUGAAAGGCCAAUCAAACCGGGAGAUAGCUGGUUCUCCCCGAAAGCUAUUUAGGUAGCGCCUCGUGAAUUCAUCUCCGGGGGUAGAGCACUGUUUCGGCUAGGGGGCCAUCCCGGCUUACCAACCCGAUGCAAACUGCGAAUACCGGAGAAUGUUAUCACGGGAGACACACGGCGGGUGCUAACGUCCGUCGUGAAGAGGGAAACAACCCAGACCGCCAGCUAAGGUCCCAAAGUCAUGGUUAAGUGGGAAACGAUGUGGGAAGGCCCAGACAGCCAGGAUGUUGGCUUAGAAGCAGCCAUCAUUUAAAGAAAGCGUAAUAGCUCACUGGUCGAGUCGGCCUGCGCGGAAGAUGUAACGGGGCUAAACCAUGCACCGAAGCUGCGGCAGCGACACUGUGUGUUGUUGGGUAGGGGAGCGUUCUGUAAGCCUGUGAAGGUGUGUCGUGAGGCAUGCUGGAGGUAUCAGAAGUGCGAAUGCUGACAUAAGUAACGAUAAAGCGGGUGAAAAGCCCGCUCGCCGGAAGACCAAGGGUUCCUGUCCAACGUUAAUCGGGGCAGGGUGAGUCGACCCCUAAGGCGAGGCCGAAAGGCGUAGUCGAUGGGAAACGGGUUAAUAUUCCCGUACUUGGUGUUACUGCGAAGGGGGGACGGAGAAGGCUAUGUUGGCCGGGCGACGGUUGUCCCGGUUUAAGCGUGUAGGUGUGUGUUCCAGGUAAAUCCGGUUCACUUUAACACUGAGGCGUGACGACGAGGCACUACGGUGCUGAAGCAACAAAUGCCCUGCUUCCAGGAAAAGCCUCUAAGCAUCAGGUAACAUCAAAUCGUACCCCAAACCGACACAGGUGGUCAGGUAGAGAAUACCAAGGCGCUUGAGAGAACUCGGGUGAAGGAACUAGGCAAAAUGGUGCCGUAACUUCGGGAGAAGGCACGCUGACACGUAGGUGAAGUGAUUUACUCAUGGAGCUGAAGUCAGUCGAAGAUACCAGCUGGCUGCAACUGUUUAUUAAAAACACAGCACUGUGCAAACACGAAAGUGGACGUAUACGGUGUGACGCCUGCCCGGUGCCGGAAGGUUAAUUGAUGGGGUCAGCGCAAGCGAAGCUCCUGAUCGAAGCCCCGGUAAACGGCGGCCGUAACUAUAACGGUCCUAAGGUAGCGAAAUUCCUUGUCGGGUAAGUUCCGACCUGCACGAAUGGCGUAAUGAUGGCCAGGCUGUCUCCACCCGAGACUCAGUGAAAUUGAACUCGCUGUGAAGAUGCAGUGUACCCGCGGCAAGACGGAAAGACCCCGUGAACCUUUACUAUAGCUUGACACUGAACAUUGAGCCUUGAUGUGUAGGAUAGGUGGGAGGCUUUGAAGUGUGGACGCCAGUCUGCAUGGAGCCGACCUUGAAAUACCACCCUUUAAUGUUUGAUGUUCUAACGUGGACCCGUUACCCGGGUUGCGGACAGUGUCUGGUGGGUAGUUUGACUGGGGCGGUCUCCUCCUAAAGAGUAACGGAGGAGCACGAAGGUUGGCUAAUCCUGGUCGGACAUCAGGAGGUUAGUGCAAUGGCAUAAGCCAGCUUGACUGCGAGCGUGACGGCGCGAGCAGGUGCGAAAGCAGGUCAUAGUGAUCCGGUGGUUCUGAAUGGAAGGGCCAUCGCUCAACGGAUAAAAGGUACUCCGGGGAUAACAGGCUGAUACCGCCCAAGAGUUCAUAUCGACGGCGGUGUUUGGCACCUCGAUGUCGGCUCAUCACAUCCUGGGGCUGAAGUAGGUCCCAAGGGUAUGGCUGUUCGCCAUUUAAAGUGGUACGCGAGCUGGGUUUAGAACGUCGUGAGACAGUUCGGUCCCUAUCUGCCGUGGGCGCUGGAGAACUGAGGGGGGCUGCUCCUAGUACGAGAGGACCGGAGUGGACGCAUCACUGGUGUUCGGGUUGUCAUGCCAAUGGCACUGCCCGGUAGCUAAAUGCGGAAGAGAUAAGUGCUGAAAGCAUCUAAGCACGAAACUUGCCCCGAG